rnacentral:rRNA from 1 species
UACGGAGGGGGCUAGCGUUGUUCGGAAUUACUGGGCGUAAAGCGCGCGUAGGCAGCUUUGUAAGUUAGAGGUGAAAGCCCGGAGCUCAACUCCGGAAUUGCCUUUAAGACUGCAUCGCUAGAAUCAUGGAGAGGUUAGUGGAAUUCCGAGUGUAGAGGUGAAAUUCGUAGAUAUUCGGAAGAACACCAGUGGCGAAGGCGACUAACUGGACAUGUAUUGACGCUGAGGUGCGAAAGCGUGGGGAGCAAACAGG